rnacentral:rRNA from 1 species
UAUUAGAGUUUGAUCCUGGCUCAGGACGAACGCUGGCGGCGCGCUUAACACAUGCAAGUCGAGCGAGAACCAGGCCUUCGGGCCUGGGGAAAGCGGCGAACGGGUGAGUAACACGUGGGCAACCCACCCUUGGUACCGGGAUAGCCCGGGGAAACCCGGAUUAAUACCGGAUGGCCCAGCAGCUCUUCGGGGCGGUUGGAAAAGAUAGCUUCGGCCUUCGACCAAGGACGGGCCCGCGGCGGAUUAGCUUGUUGGUGAGGUAACGGCCCACCAAGGCGACGAUCCGUAGCUGGUCUGAGAGGACGAUCAGCCACACUGGGACUGAGACACGGCCCAGACUCCUACGGGAGGCAGCAGUGGGGAAUCUUGCGCAAUGGGCGAAAGCCUGACGCAGCGACGCCGCGUGGGGGAAGAAGGCUUUCGGGUUGUAAACCCCUUUCAGGAGAGACGAAGCUACUCGGGUGAAUAGCCCAGAGGGUGACGGUAUCUCCAGAAGAAGCCCCGGCUAACUACGUGCCAGCAGCCGCGGUAAUAUCGCC